rnacentral:ncRNA from 1 species
AGGCGUCACAAGAGGAGCUUUUGCUGAGAAUGACCUCCAGUUUUAAGUAAAUUCCAUAACAUUGGAGUUUUGCGCAAAGUCUGGGUGUCUAAACUCUUUGAACCUGAACAAGGUAAUGCUUGCGUAAGGGAUGUGCAGAAAUAAGUGG